rnacentral:rRNA from 1 species
GGGAACAUACCCUUUUCUACGGAAUAGCUCUGGGAAACUGGAAUUAAUACCGUAUACGCCCUACGGGGGAAAGAUUUAUCGGGGAAGGAUUGGCCCGCGUUGGAUUAGCUAGUUGGUGGGGUAAAGGCCUACCAAGGCGACGAUCCAUAGCUGGUCUGAGAGGAUGAUCAGCCACAUUGGGACUGAGACACGGCCCAAACUCCUACGGGAGGCAGCAGUGGGGAAUAUUGGACAAUGGGCGCAAGCCUGAUCCAGCCAUGCCGCGUGAGUGAUGAAGGCCUUAGGGUUGUAAAGCUCUUUCACCGAUGAAGAUAAUGACGGUAGUCGGAGAAGAAGCCCCGGCUAACUUCGUGCCAGCAGCCGCGGUAAUACGAAGGGGGCUAGCGUUGUUCGGAAUUACUGGGCGUAAAGCGCACGUAGGCGGAUAUUUAAGUCAGGGGUGAAAUCCCAGGGCUCAACUCUGGAACUGCCUUUGAUACUGGGUAUCUUGAGUAUGGAAGAGGUAAGUGGAAUUGCGAGU